rnacentral:rRNA from 1 species
GACAGAGGUGCCAAGCGUUAGGCGGAAUCACUGGGCUUAAAGCGUGUGUAGGCGGACUUGUAAGUACCUUGUGAAAUCCCACGGCUCAACCGUGGAACUGCUUGGUAUACUGCUUGUCUUGAGCCACUUAGGGGCUACCGGAACAAAUGGUGGAGCGGUGAAAUGCGUAGAUAUCAUUUGGAACGCCAAUGGUGAAAACAGGUAGCUGGGAGUGUGCUGACGCUGAGGCGCGAAAGCCAGGGGAGCAAACGGG